GGUUGACCUCGGAUCAGGUAGGGAUACCCGCUGAACUUAAGCAUAUCAAUAAGCGGAGGAAAAGAAACCAACAGGGAUUGCUCUAGUAACGGCGAGUGAAGCAGCAAUAGCUCAAAUUUGAAAUCUGGCGUCUUCGGCGUCCGAGUUGUAAUUUGUAGAGGAUGCUUCUGGGCAGCCACCGACCUAAGUUCCUUGGAACAGGACGUCAUAGAGGGUGAGAAUCCCGUAUGCGGUCGGAAAGGCACCCUACACGUAGCUCCUUCGACGAGUCGAGUUGUUUGGGAAUGCAGCUCUAAAUGGGAGGUAAAUUUCUUCUAAAGCUAAAUAUUGGCCAGAGACCGAUAGCGCACAAGUAGAGUGAUCGAAAGAUGAAAAGCACUUUGGAAAGAGAGUUAAAAAGCACGUGAAAUUGUUGAAAGGGAAGGGAUUGCAACCAGACUUGCUCGCGGUGUUCCGCCGGUCUUCUGACCGGUCUACUCGCCGCGUUGCAGGCCAGCAUCGUCUGGUGCCGCUGGAUAAGACUUGAGGAAUGUAGCUCCCUCGGGAGUGUUAUAGCCUCUUGUGAUGCAGCGAGCGCCGGGCGAGGUCCGCGCUUCGGCUAGGAUGCUGGCGUAAUGGUUGUAAUCCGCCCGUCUUGAAACACGGACCAAGGAGUCUAA
rnacentral:rRNA from 1 species